UACGUAGGGUGCGAGCGUUGUCCGGAAUUAUUGGGCGUAAAGAGCUCGUAGGCGGCUUGUCGCGUCGGAUGUGAAAGCCCGGGGCUUAACUCCGGGUCUGCAUUCGAUACGGGCAGGCUAGAGUUCGGUAGGGGAGAUCGGAAUUCCUGGUGUAGCGGUGAAAUGCGCAGAUAUCAGGAGGAACACCGGUGGCGAAGGCGGGUCUCUGGGCCGAUACUGACGCUGAGGAGCGAAAGCAUGGGGAGCGAACAGG
rnacentral:rRNA from 1 species